rnacentral:rRNA from 1 species
GACGAACGCUGGCGGCGUGCUUAACACAUGCAAGUCGAACGGAAAGGCCCUGCUUUUGUGGGGUGCUCGAGUGGCGAACGGGUGAGUAACACGUGAGUAACCUGCCCUUGACUUUGGGAUAACUUCAGGAAACUGGGGCUAAUACCGGAUAGGAGCUCCUGCUGCAUGGUGGGGGUUGGAAAGUUUCGGCGGUUGGGGAUGGACUCGCGGCUUAUCAGCUUGUUGGUGGGGUAGUGGCUUACCAAGGCUUUGACGGGUAGCCGGCCUGAGAGGGUGACCGGCCACAUUGGGACUGAGAUACGGCCCAGACUCCUACGCGAGGCAGCAGUGGGGAAUAUUGCACAAUGGGCGGAAGCCUGAUGCAGCAACGCCGCGUGCGGGAUGACGGCCUUCGGGUUGUAAACCGCUUUCGCCUGUGACGAAGCGUGAGUGACGGUAAUGGGUAAAGAAGCACCGGCUAACUACGUG